CAAAGAUCUCAAAAUGCAGUGAAUGCCGUCUCGAUUGUGUUAGCAUCUUGUAGCAAUGUCGGAAUACAAAAUUGAUCAUGUCCAAAUUUUGUUAUUAAUCCAACGCGUACAGCAUAUUUCAAUUUUGGAAUAAGUUCUGUUAACUUCUACAGCUUCGCGUAUCAUCUGUGGUGUUACCGAUAUCAACUUUUGACUUGUUUUAAAAUGAUCUAGAAAAAAAUAAUAUUUCUUAUUUAUAUAAUAUAUAUAUAUAAUCUAAAA